rnacentral:tRNA from 1 species
UCCCUCACGGUCCAGUGGUUAAGAUGCCACACUUCCACUGUGCAGGCUCAGGUUCGAUCCCUGGUCAGGGAA